GCCUCUGUGGAUCAGUGUAGAUAGCCUCAGACAUGUAGCAUGAUGACCCUCUGACAUUCAAUGAGGAGACGUGGGUUCGAACCUCACCGGAGGCA